GACGAACGCUGGCGGCGUGCUUAACACAUGCAAGUCGAACGAAGAGCGACGGAAGCUUGCUUCUAUCAAUCUUAGUGGCGAACGGGUGAGUAACGCGUAAUCAACCUGCCCUUCAGAGGGGGACAACAGUUGGAAACGACUGCUAAUACCGCAUACGAUCUAAUCUCGGCAUCGAGGAUGGAUGAAAGGUGGCCUCUACAUGUAAGCUAUCACUGAAGGAGGGGAUUGCGUCUGAUUAGCUAGUUGGAGGGGUAACGGCCCACCAAGGCGAUGAUCAGUAGCCGGUCUGAGAGGAGGAACGGCCACAUUGGGACUGAGACACGGCCCAGACUCCUACGGGGGGCAGCAGUGGGGAAUCUUCCGCAAUGGACGAAAGUCUGACGGAGCAACGCCGCGUGAGUGAUGACGGCCUUCGGGUUGUAAAGCUCGGUUAAUCGGGACGAAAGGCCUUCUUGCGAAUAGUGAGAAGGAUUGACGGUACCGGAAUAGAAAGCCACGGCUAACUACGUG
rnacentral:rRNA from 1 species